GACGAACGCUGGCGGCGUGCUUAACACAUGCCAGUCGAACGGAAAGGCCCUGCUUUUGUGGGGUGCUCGAGUGGCGAACGGGUGAGUAACACGUGAGUAACCUGCCCUUGACUUUGGGAUAACUUCAGGAAACUGGGGCUAAUACCAGAUAGGAGCUCCUGCUGCAUGGUGGGGGUUGGAAAGUUUCGGCGGUUGGGGAUGGACUCGCGGCUUAUCAGCUUGUUGGUGGGGUAGUGGCUUACCAAGGCUUUGACGGGUAGCCGGCCUGAGAGGGUGACCGGCCACAUUGGGACUGAGAUACGGCCCAGACUCCUACGGGAGGCAGCAGUGGGGAAUAUUGCACAAUGGGCGGAAGCCUGAUGCAGCAACGCCGCGUGCGGGAUGACGGCCUUCGGGUUGUAAACCGCUUUCGCCUGUGACGAAGCGUGAGUGACGGUAAUGGGUAAAGAAGCACCGGCUAACUACGUG
rnacentral:rRNA from 1 species